rnacentral:lncRNA from 1 species
CAGCAGUCUCGUACAGUAGCCUCCGCUUGAAUGGAGGUGUAAGAGAGGCGCGGUGCACACUCGCAGACAACCCUAUGUACACCUCAGUACCCUGGUGAGCCCUGUCUGGAGCACAUGCUGCAGGGAAGGCCCUCCAGUCGGCGCCAGCUGGACUUCCUCUUCUUAAAUGGGACCGAGGGGGAAGAGGUCUCAUUUACACCUUUCACACAGAAACCAAAAAGGGGUGGAUCUUCACAGGGGUAUUUGUUUCCUAUCAAAGAUGAUGAGAAAAAGCAUCCAUUGAGCCAGCAUCACAAUAGGCGCCAUGGCAACUGCAUCAUGAAAGAGACUGUCUCCAUGGCAAUUUGAAUGGUACCUCACAAUAAUGGGCCUCUCCUCAGUGUCAUUGAUAUGAAAAUGAGUCCGAGGAGCUAUGAUGUGUGCCAGGUGCUCAGGACACUCCAGCUGAGCUCAGCCCAGGAGGAGAAGCCCUCGCUUGGGAAACAGCCUCAUACUGGGGGAGGGGGAAUGGUGACCAAACGCACUUGGACAAUCACUCCACCUAAUUCAUAACACACAGGUAGGAGGGGGAGGAGGAGAAACGGG